UAUACAGUCAAAGGUUAUCUGUUUGGAUAAUUUGAGACUGCUUCUGGAAACGUUUCAGCUGUGGCAAAUGGUAAAUCAUCCCUUGGCGGAAAGGACACAGGGAUGAGUGCCAUCCUCCACCUGUUGAUCAUUUUAAAGGCCAGCCUCAUUUUGCAGAUUUAAAAGGAGGGCAAGCUGAAAGGAAUGAUGAGCACUGCAGUGCUUAUCAAAAUAUCUCUAUUAUGAAUUCUGGCCAAGCUGAAGAAACAAUCAUUGGCGACAGCAGGCCAGAGAUUGAUGGAAAACUAGAUGAUGUGGAAUCUUUUGAAACAUCCUUCAAUUAAUCAGUGCCAUCAAAGUCUGAUCUCUCUUCAGAAACAUACAGUCAGAUUGGCAAUGUUAGGCAGAAAUCUUCUGCAAGUACUUCUGGAAAGCAAUUUGCUACUUCUUUGAUCGACUCCUCUGCUUCUGCUGACUGCACAUUGCCCAGCCUUGGAGAGAUCCCUCAUGUUGCUACUUCAAAUGCGGGCCUUACUGGAGCACAAUCUGGACAGCAUUCCAACGCAAGUUCUUCUUAUGUUUCCUUUACUAACCCAAAGAAAUCUUUUUGCACUAUUCUUGAGAGCUCUAGAACUUUUGUUGGUUCUGAGAAGGUAAAUCUUCCAUCCUUUCCAUAUGGGAUAGCGAGUGCAAACAUUUUUUAUAAUGCCUCCUCAAAUGACUUUAAACUGCAGUCGACUUUUAUAAUGAGGAAGCUAAGUGCAAGUUGAAUGGUCCUUCAAAUAUGAAGUCCUCUAGCUCAAACAGAUCCUUGAAUGUUCGGCUUUGUCAGACUAGUAACUCUAGGACUACUACUUUAUGUUCCAAAACAUUAGAUAAAUUUGAAAAUAAUUUUUCUGAUAACCAUAAUGAAUGCCAGGAGACUGCAGUUGAAAUUGUCGGAUCUGCUGAUAUAAAUGAAUCCCAUACUCACAAAAAUAAUCAAACUCAGGUGGAUGCUAUGCUUCAUUCAAAAGGGUCUCUUAAUGUUUCUAACUCAAAAUCCUUUUCAUCCACAGCAAGUCCAGCUACACUUGAGCCUACAGCUACAAAAGACUCAAGCUUUGAAAAAUCAUGUAGUGUUACUUAUGGGGAGAAAAAUAAAGAACAGUUCAAGUUUUUAUCUUCUUCCUUUGACGAUAAUUUAUCUCCAUUAGUUCAAGGUACAACAUUGUAAGAGAAGGGCCUCAUGUUGUUGAAAAUGAUCCUCAUGUUUCAACCAAAUCAUUAGAGGUUUCCAACUCUUUAUUAAAUGGUAAGAUAUUUGUCGGCAAACGUGCUAGACAAAUUUCAUCAUCACCACUUAGGCAUGUUCAGCCAGGGGCUUGUAACUAUGGAUCUCUUAAAUACAACUAUAAGAUGCUUUUUGCGUACGACCUCUUCAUCAAGCUUUACAACUCUGAUAAGGUGUGGUUGAACCCCUGUGGUCUGAUUAACUGUGGUAUUAGAUCAACUGCCUCUGAGUUCAAUGCUUCAUGAUUUUCGUUAAAAUGACGAAUCAUCAUCAUCGUCAUUAGGGAAGACUAGCUAGGAAGCUGCGAGUAAUUGUUCGCCAUUAUGAACAACAUUGCACUCAACCAUUUCUGUUUCCAGUCUGCAGACGUAACUAUCAGGCAAAUUGCAGGCGGCAGGCUACCAACUUGCGUUGCCAUCAUCACCGCACAGCGACUCCAACCAACUAAAUCUUUCAAUGUCGAUGAGCCGUUCACAUGUGCGAGUGGCCCCAACCGCGCCAGACAAGCCCCGCCAUUAGAGUCCACCCAGCUUUUAUCCCUGCUUGGCUUCUAGUCUUCUUCUACGCCUUUCUCUUCUCCAAGUUCAAAUUUCAAACCAUGCAUAGAGUACCACGUCGUUCAACAAAAUUCCAGAUUUGACCCAAAGCCAUUUAUCAAUCGACAACUCAUAAGGACACCUCUCCCCUCUUUCUCUCUAUCCCCAUCUCUUUCUCUUUCUUCCCAUUAUUCACAGUAGAAAAGAGGGCACUUCAGAUCUGAAAGAAAUGAAAUUAAAUUACCAA